GCAGUGAGGAAUAUUGGUCAAUGGGCGCAAGCCUGAACCAGCCAUCCCGCGUGCAGGAAGACGGCGCUAUGCGUUGUAAACUGCUUUUCUGGAGGAAGAAACGCCGCGACGUGUCGUGGUUUGACAGUACUUCAGGAAUAAGCAUCGGCUAACUCCGUGCCAGCAGCCGCGGUAAUACGGAGGAUGCAAGCGUUAUCCGGAUUCAUUGGGUUUAAAGGGUGCGUAGGCGGACUUAUAAGUCAGUGGUGAAAUCCUGCAGCUUAACUGUAGCACUGCCAUUGAUACUGUUAGUCUUGAGUUUGGUUAAGGUAGGCGGAAUGUGUAAUGUAGCGGUGAAAUGCUUAGAUAUUACACAGAACACCAAUUGCGAAGGCAGCUUACUGGACCGAUACUGACGCUGAGGCACGAAAGCGUGGGGAGCGAACAGGAUUAGAUACCCUGGUAGUCCACGCAGUAAACGAUGAUCACUCGCUGUUGGCGAUACACAGUCAGCGGCUAAGCAAAAGCAUUAAG
rnacentral:rRNA from 1 species